rnacentral:rRNA from 1 species
GACGAACGCUGGCGGCGUGCUUAACACAUGCAAGUCGAACGGAAAGGCCCUGCUGUUGUGGGGUGCUCGAGUGGCGAACGGGUGAGUAACAAGUGAGUAACCUGCCCUUGACUUUGGGAUAACUUCAGGAAACUGGGGCUAAUACCGGAUAGGAGCUCCUGCUGCAUGGUGGGGGUUGGAAAGUUUCGGCGGUUGGGGAUGGACUCGCGGCUUAUCAGCUUGUUGGUGGGGUAGUGGCUUACCAAGGCUUUGACGGGUAGCCGGCCUGAGAGGGUGACCGGCCACAUUGGGACUGAGAUACGGCCCAGACUCCUACGGGAGGCAGCAGUGGGGAAUAUUGCACAAUGGGCGGAAGCCUCAUGCAGCAACGCCGCGUGCGGGAUGACGGCCUUCGGGUUGUAAACCGCUUUCGCCUGUGACGAAGCGUGAGUGACGGUAAUGGGUAAAGAAGCACCGGCUAACUACGUG